ACGCGUUGGGAGCUCUCCCAUAUGGUCGACCUGCAGGCGGCCGCGAAUUCACUAGUGAUUAGAGUUUGAUCCUGGCUCAGAACGAACGCUUUCGGUAUGCUUAACACAUGCAAGUCGAACGGAUUUAUUUAGAGCUUGCUUUAAAUAAAUUAGUGGCAGACGGGUGAGUAACACGUGGGAAUCUGCCCAUCAGUACGGAAUAACAUUUAGAAAUAAUUGCUAAUACCGUAUAUUCUCUUUGGAGGAAAGAUUUAUCGCUGAUGGAUGAGCCCGCGCCAGAUUAGGUAGUUGGUAGGGUAAUGGCCUACCAAGCCAAUGAUCUGUAGCUGGUUUGAGAGAAUGAUCAGCCACACUGGGACUGAGACACGGCCCAGACUCCUACGGGAGGCAGCAGUGGGGAAUAUUGGACAAUGGGCGAAAGCCUGAUCCAGCAAUGCCGCGUGAGUGAUGAAGGCCUUAGGGUUGUAAAGCUCUUUUACCCGGGAUGAUAAUGACAGUACCGGGAGAAUAAGCUCCGGCUAACUCCGUGCCAGCAGCCGCGGUAAUACGAAUCGAAUUCCCGCGGCCG
rnacentral:rRNA from 1 species